rnacentral:rRNA from 1 species
GACGAACGCUGGCGGCGUGCUUAACACAUGCAAGUCGAACGGUAAGGCCCUUCGGGGUACCCGAGUGGCGAACGGGUGAGUAACACGUGGGUAAUCUGCCCUGCACUUCGGGAUAAGCCUGGGAAACUGGGUCUAAUACCUGAUAUUCAGUUCCUGCCGCAUGGUGGGGGUUGGGAAGUUUUUCGGUGCAGGAUGAGCCCGCGGCCUAUCAGCUUGUUGGUGGGGUAAUGGCCUACCAAGGCGACGACGGGUAGCCGGCCUGAGAGGGUGAUCGGCCACACUGGGACUGAGACACGGCCCAGACUCCUACGGGAGGCAGCAGUGGGGAAUAUUGCACAAUGGGCGAAAGCCUGAUGCAGCGACGCCGCGUGGGGGAUGACGGUCUUCGGAUUGUAAACCCCUUUCAGUAGGGACGAAGCGAAAGUGACGGUACCUGCAGAAGAAGCACCGGCCAACUACGUG